rnacentral:lncRNA from 1 species
AUGACACAUUCCUCCUGCCCAGGGUGCCCCAGCUCCCGUGUGCAUGGUUGGCGUGCAGGUGACAGUCACUGCUGUGCUGCAGCCAAAACAUGGAGUCUGUGGACACCUCAAGUGGUGGAGCAGGGCCUGGGCUGUCCCAAUGGGAGGUACAGGAGAGGCAUGGAAGGUCGAGAUGGGGAGCCCACAGCCAGGAGAGACUGCUGUGCAGAAAACCUGAGAGCAGCUGUGGUUAAUCCUUGUCCCUGGAGAACAACUGUGGAAGAGAUGACUUGAUAAACUCAAAAGAGCUGCUGAUGGACAGAACAGCACACAGGACUGAUGGGAGAUGAAACAAAUGCAGAUCGAUGCCCACAGCACCAGUGCGUAAAAGUGGGUGCAAGCCUUACAGGAAGCAGCUAAAGUAAGUGGUACAGACACUCACUGCAUAUGGUU